UCGUUUAUCCGACGGCCGAGAUCUAUCGUCAGCUACGAAGAUGGGCUCGAUCCGGUCGUAGAGAUCGAUCUCGUGUUCUUGGACUCUCGGAUCUCUUCCACUCCAAGGGAGGCGACGGGAUAGCAUCAAGGCGAAACGUGAUCGGAGUCAAUGGGCAACUCGCCCGGCGAUUGGAGCAAAUCAAGAAAGGGGAAGUUGAUAUCGAAGUGAUUACCAGCAGGAUUCAGACUUUUCCAGUCAAAAGCAUGCGUGUGUCAUGCAUCUCCCUGUGACUUUAAAGAAUUCAAAAGCUGCCUGCUUGUUGAGGUGAUAAAAAGGAUUCCCACCAUCAAAAGACUUCAAGCUCAUCAGUCAACUCAGCCUGUUAAAUAUCACCAGAGAUCCUGCAAGAAAGUUCCUGAUGUUACUUUCAGCCACUGGAACUCCAUCGACUCUUGCUGCUGCUGACACCGCACUAACUUAGCUGCUAAGGUUAUGGCAUAGGCAUCUUUCGGCAAAUUUGGUUCUCAUUAUUAAUCCAACAGCUUUCACAGGUGCAGAAGUUGUAAGCAACUCAUUUGUGGAGAAGGGCAGCAUGGACCACUAGUCAUGCAUGCAUCUACAGAUUCUUAUAGAGAGGAAAUACAUGGGUAAGCAUGACUCUUUGUUCUAACUUUGUCCAGUGAAUGAUUGUGAUGUGAUGAUGAUAACAAAUUUACUUGGUCAUGGUUACUUAGGCUAUCAAUGGCACUAUAUUUAAUAACUUGCAAGCCCCUCCUGGUCUACCAAGAUUACUGACAUAUCCUUUGUUUGACCUUUCUAAAGAUCAUUGUUUAAGAGCAUAGAGUUGACCAUGCAGCUGGUCAGAAGAGUAAUAUAAGCAUAUUUCCAACACUAUCACCACUCAUCAUAUCGUAUUAUUUAGGCCAGGGGAGACUGGAAUUACAUGAAACAAUGAUGAGCAACAAGGAAAGUUAUUACCUAUAGCCAGCUGCAGAUGUCAUGGGCAUCAUACAUAUGUUAAGAUCAACAUGAGAAUAUUCUGUCUCAGUUUGAUAUUUUUGUAGCUCUUGGAGGGUGUGAUCCCUGAUCAGAACUGUGAAUUCUUAAUGGCUGGACAAGGAGGACCCAUUCUAGCUGACUUGGUGCAUGGAAUCAAACAGAGAUGGGGCUCAGAUCUGAACCGUGAUGCAUCAUCAUGUAGUUUUUUCUCAAGACUGUUUGGAUGAUACCAUCAUCUUGAUCCUAUGGGACCAAGUUUGUCUGGUUUGAGGAAGUAAAAUGGGAACCCAUCAAACUCUUCUACUGCUUUACUAAUGUUUCAGGAUUCAUUAGAAAUCAGAAAAAAGCUUUUCCCGACUAACUCUCUUCAUCUCAGAUUUCUGUGCCAGUUUUUGUCACUGCCACAUGAAUGCGUCACAAUGAUUAAAAGUGCAGGUCUCUUGGAGCCACCAUCUGUUUGAACCUUACCUCAUCAGGCUGCUGCAUAUGGAUCUCCAUCAUGGCUUGUGUUCCUUCUCCAGAUGUGCAGAGAUGAGGAAACAGUACUACUGCAUCCUCUUUUUAAUGCAGUUGGCUGUGUGCGUGUGUGCGCGCCUGAGAUCACCCAUGCGUUGCUGACUCACAUAGAUUCCUUGUGGAGGCCCAGUGGAAGCAUUGAGUUCUUUGGUGUAUACACAUGAUUCCAAAACCACAAAGCUACUUUUGUGAAAGGGCUUAAAAGCAAGGGAGGCAACAUCCACCAUGGCUGGAGAGAAUGAGGUUGCUUGGGUCCCUCCAAAGGUUUUAAGAGCCUGACCAUGAAAUGCCAAUGGUAAAAGAGAAAGGUACAUUAGCUGUUCCUUCACCAGAAAGAGGAUUUAUUACAUCUGAUUCAAAAAGAUAUAUAGCAUUUUACAUUUCAAAGUUUGGAUA